GUCAGUGUAGUAUAAUGGGUAAAAAGUUAGUCUUGUAACCUAAAGGUCACAGGUUUGAUUCCCGGUAGGGCA
rnacentral:tRNA from 1 species